GCCGCAAUAGCUCAGUUGGUUAGAGCACUUCAUUAGUAAUGAAGAGGUCCGUGGUUCGAACCCGCGUUGUGGCU
rnacentral:tRNA from 1 species